rnacentral:rRNA from 1 species
UCUGGUAGUUAUGGCGAGAAGGUCACACCCGUUCCCAUCCCGAACACGGUAGUUAAGCUUCUCUGCGCCAAUGGUAGUUGGG